GGAGUAGUAAUCCACAUGGACAAUGAUGACUUGGAUUUCAAGUAUUUUAAGAGUUGGUUAAGUAGUUAACCAGCUUCACAAAGCUGCACUGUAUGAUAGACAUUUCAGAAAACAACGUGGCCUCAUUUGGAAACAGAAUUUUCAUGGGGAUUUCACCAGGGUUUCACAUUUUUCAGUUCGAUUCCUGGAAGAUAUCGAAAGUAAUUCUCCUAUUCCAAACGGGACCUGUAUGUGUGUUUGCAAUUGUAAUGAGUUAUCAGCAACAUGAAGCUGGAGUGCAGCGAAGAGCAAACUGUCCAUCGGUAAAAUCCAAUACAUGUUUUCAGUAUAAUCGCU
rnacentral:lncRNA from 1 species